rnacentral:rRNA from 1 species
GAGACUCUGUGCGCGUGCAUAUCAAUAAGCGGAGGAAAAGAAACUAACAAGGAUUCCCCUAGUAACGGCGAGUGAAGCGGGAAGAGCUCAAAUUUGAAAUCUUAAAGGGUUUCCCUUUACGAAUUGUAGUUUAAAGAAGUGUUUUCUGUUGGAGUUUCGGUAAAAGUUCUUUGGAGUAGGACAUCAUAGAGGGUGAGAAUCCCGUAUUUGACCGUUACUUUCCAGCUGUGUGAUACACUUUCAAAGAGUCGGAUUGUUUGGGAAUGCAGUCCAAAAUGGGUGGUAAAUUUCAUCUAAAGCUAAAUAUUGGCGAGAGACCGAUAGCGAACAAGUACCGUGAGGGAAAGAUGAAAAGAACUUUGAAAAGAGAGUUAAACAGUACGUGAAAUUGUCAAAAGGGAAGCGUUUGACACCAGUGUUGUUUAGUUGAAAAUCAAUUCAAUAGUUUUUGAUUCUAAGUAGUAUUGACUUCAUCAGCUUGCUGCUUUCUUCUCAGAAAUUAUUGAAUGCACUUUUCAGUUAACAAGUCAACAUCAAUUUCUUUUGUUGUAAAAGGGUAAGAGGAAGGUGGCUUGCGCUUCGGCUCAAGUGUUUAUAGCCUUUUAUCUCUGCAAUCGGAGAGAUUGAGGUCUGCAGCGUAGAUCCUUCGGGGUUAGAUACAUUGGUGCUAAGCUAUAGCCUUGUAUAGACAACUUGUUGACUAUGCUCAGUCAUGUAGCUUACUCGCUGAUGCUAUUUUACCUACGCUUAGGAUGUUGACAGCAGUAUAGACUGU